AGAGUUUGAUCCUGGCUCAGAGCGAACGUUAGCGGCGGGCUUAACACAUGCAAGUCGCACGAGAACAGGGCUUCGGCCCCUAGUAAAGUGGCGGACGGGUGCGUAACACGUGGCUAACCUGCCCUCCAGUGGGGGAUAACUGUCCGAAAGGAUAGCUAAUACCGCAUUCGUCGACGGGGCCUUCGGGCGCUGUCGGGAAAGCCGGCCUCUACAUGUAAGCUGGCGCUGGAGGAGGGGGCCGCGGCCCAUCAGCUAGUUGGUGAGGUAAUGGCUCACCAAGGCUAAGACGGGUAGCUGGUCUGAGAGGAUGAUCAGCCACACUGGGACUGAGACACGGCCCAGACUCCUACGGGAGGCAGCAGUGGGGAAUAUUGGGCAAUGGGCGCAAGCCUGACCCAGCCACGCCGCGUGAGUGAUGAAGGCCUUCGGGUCGUAAAGCUCUGUGGGGAGGGACGAAAGCCCGGAAGCUAAUAUCUUCCGGUUUGACGGUACCUCCUUAGCAAGCACCGGCUAACUCCGUGCCAGCAGCCGCGGUAAUACGGAGGGUGCAAACGUUGCUC
rnacentral:rRNA from 1 species